rnacentral:rRNA from 1 species
AACGAACGCUGGCGGCGUGGAUAAGACAUGCAAGUCGAACGCUUAUCUUUGUGUAGCAAUACAUGAAGGUAGGAGUGGCGCAAGGGUGCGUAACACGUGGGUAAUUUGCCGCGAAGUCCGGGAUAACUUGCUGAAAGGCGAGCUAAUACCGGAUGUGGAAAUUGGAAGGCAUCUUUUGAUUUCUGAAGCUGGGGGACCUGUAAGGGCCUGGCGCUUUGCGAUAAGCCCGCGGCCUAUCAGCUAGUUGGUGAGGUAACCGGCCCACCAAGGCUAAGACGGGUAGCUGGUCUGAGAGGACGACCAGCCACACUGGAACUGAGACACGGUCCAGACACCUACGGGUGCAGCAGUCGAGUAAUUUUUCNCAAUGGGCGCAAGCCUGAAGGAGCGACGCCGCGUGUGGGAUGUAAGGGUUUCGA